CCUCAGUACGGUCGGAAAUCGUACGUAGAGUGUAAAGCCAACCGAGAGCUUGAUUGCAAGACAUACAGGUCGAGCAAGGAUGAAAAUCGGCCUUAGGGAUCCGGUGGUUCUGCGUGGAAGGGCCAUCGCUCACCGGAUAAACGCUUCCCUGUGGAUACCAGGCUUAUCCCCCCCAAGAGUCCACAUCGACGGGGAGGUUUGGCACCUCGAUGUCGGCCCAUCACAUCCUGGGGCUGUAGGAGGUCCCAAGGGUUGGGCUGUUCGCCCCUUUAAGUGGUACGCGAGCUGGGGUCAGAACGUCGUGAGACCGUUCGGUCCCUAUUCGUCGCGGGCGGGGGCAAUUUGAGUACACUAUUCCUUUGUUCGAGAGGACCGGAACGGACGUACUGUUGGAGGCUGUU
rnacentral:rRNA from 1 species